CUUCCAAUAGCACGAUGAAGUUGGCAGGCUUUCUCCUCCUGGUGAUCCUAAUCACCCUCAGCCUAGAGGUACUGGAGCUUCAGGCUGCAGUGAGACCACUGCAACUUUUGGGCGCCUGCGUUGAGCUCUGCAGAGGUGACUGGGACUGUGAUCCAGGGGACCACUGUGUCAGCAAUGGGUGUGGCCACAUCUGUGUUUCAGACUAAAGACAAGUGAAAAAAAAUCAGAGUUCCUUAUCUUCAGAGAUGUGACUGUUUGGAGAGCCUUGCUCAGAAAGACAGAUGAAAAUGGGGACCUGCGAAUGGAGAUUAUGAGGGACGUGGUGGAGGGAAAAAAAGUUUUUUUGUUUUUUUAAUAAAUCAGCAUUGUUAAAAGUACCCACACUACUUGAAUUAUUUGGGCAAGGGUGAUGAAGAGGAGGAGGAAGAGGUGGGGGAUAGACGAUCUUUGUUGAACACUUGCUAUGCAACAAGGAUUGUGUUAUAUUUUCCACAAGCAUCAUCUAAUUUAUCCCUCCAGGAACUUUGUGACUGCUUAUUACCAUUGCCAUUUUACGUGUAAGGACACUGACGUUUGGAGAAAUUAAGUAAUUUGCUCAAAGUCAUAUAGCAGCUAGGUGUCAGGGUCUUAACUAUAAUCCCAGUGCAACCUAAGAUGAGCCACACUAAACUCAAAUCCUUUCUAUACUCUCUUUCACUCCACCUCUUCUGUGGUGAUGACCAGGCCUCAUGUCCUUCUAGCCCAGUGUGUUGGACAUCUCUUAUGCACUGCUUUAGAUACUCUUCACCUUAUACUCUUAUGCUAAGCAUUGCUACA